rnacentral:hammerhead_ribozyme from 1 species
AUCCAGCCGACGAGUCGCGAAUAGGACGAAGGGGCGGGCGUCCUGGAU